rnacentral:rRNA from 1 species
AGUCGAGGGGCAUCAGUUUGGUUUGCUUGCAAACCAAAGCUGGCGACCGGCGCACGGGUGAGUAACACGUAUCCAACCUGCCUCAUACUCGGGGAUAGCCUUUCGAAAGAAAGAUUAAUAUCCGAUAGCAUAUAUUUCCCGCAUGGGUUUUAUAUUAAAGAAAUUCGGUAUGAGAUGGGGAUGCGUUCCAUUAGUUUGUUGGGGGGGUAACGGCCCACCAAGACUACGAUGGAUAGGGGUCCUGAGAGGAAGGUCCCCCACAUUGGAACUGAGACACGGUCCAAACUCCUACGGGAGGCAGCAGUGAGGAAUAUUGGUCAAUGGACGCGAGUCUGAACCAGCCAAGUAGCGUGAAGGAUGACUGCCCUAUGGGUUGUAAACUUCUUUUAUAUGGGAAUAAAGUUGUCCACGUGUGGAUUUUUGUAUGUACCAUAUGAAUAAGGAUCGGCUAACUCCGUGCCAGCAGCCGCGGUAAUACGGAGGAUCCGAGCGUUAUCCGGAUUUAUUGGGUUUAAAGGGAGCGUAGGCGGAUUGUUAAGUCAGUUGUGAAAGUUUGCGGCUCAACCGUAAAAUUGCAGUUGAUACUGGCAGUCUUGAGUGCAGUAGAGGUGGGCGGAAUUCGUGGUGUAGCGGUGAAAUGCUUAGAUAUCACGAA